AUUGAACGCUGGCGGCAUGCCUUAUACAUGCAAGUCGAACGGCCGUACGGGCUUCGGGCUGGUGGGGUGUGGCGGACGGGUGGGUAAUAUAUCGGUAGGUACCCAGCAGUGGGGGCUAAGGUAGCGAAGGUUAAGCUAAUCUCGCAUCGGAUCUAUGGUUGAAAGGAGGGGACCGAAAGGGAUAGUGGUCCUUGCGGGGAAGAAUACUGAUUUGCUCGUUGGUGAGGUAAAGGCUCACCAAGGCGACGAACAGUAGCUGAUCUGAGAGGACGACCAGCCACACUGGAACUGAGACACGGUCCAGACUCCUACGGGAGGCAGCAGUGGGGAAUUUUGGGCAAUGGGCGCAAGCCUGAUCCAGCAAUGCCGCGUGAGUGAAGAAGGCCUUCGGAUUGUAAAGCUCUGUUGUCAGGGAAGAAACGAUAGAGACUAAUAUCCUUAGCUAAUGACGGUACCUGAAGAGUAAGCACCGGCUAACUACGUG
rnacentral:rRNA from 1 species